GUGGUGACCUGGGAAUCAAUGUGUGAGGUGGUGCUAUGUAGCAGGAACCCCUCUUGCUUUGCAAAUAGUUUUUUGUUUGUUUUCCUUUUUGCCCAAUAGAGCCCUGCUCUACUGACCCUUCAAUGUGCCCGUGUGCCUAAAUAUUCCUGGUCGUGUGAAAAGAACCCAGGUAUUAGCUGAACUAAGGAGCACAAUUCUGCAACAUUUUGGCACCCAAACACGGGGCUUGAGAAAUGAAUGCAAUUGGAGAAACUGGUUGUUUUACCAGGCGUUGAUUGGAAAUGUGUGCUUCCCUUUAAGCAGUCAAGCUCAACUUGCAGAACUGAUGGGAACCCCUUGGGAAAACUGGCCUCAAAUGUUUGUCUACACAGUCCACAUACAGGGUUCUUAACCUGCGAUGAGGGAAACUUCCCAGGGCUUGUCUGGGUAUGCCCACAGUGGACUGGAGCCCAAAAUGCACACUGGAGGAAGUGGAUGGAGCCACGUGGAUGUCAUGCCUUAUGCAGGGGAGGAGCCUGCUCUCUUCAGCUCCUGUGGUAAUGUGGGAAUCGAUCUGUGAGCAUAUUUAACUAUCCGGCUAUUUUGGAGAUUGAAAAAAGAAGACCUGAUUUAUCAUGUGCAAUAUCUCACACAUCUGUCAUUUCUAUUCUACCGCAAUUCGAUGGAGUCUUGUUCUGUGGUCCAGGCUAGAGGGCAGUGGCAUGAUCUCGGCUCACUACAAGCUCUGCCUCCCGGGUUCACGCCAUUCUCCUGCCUCAGCCUCCUGAGUAGCUGGGACUACAGGCGCCCGCCACCACGCCUGGCUAAUUUUUUGUAUAUUUACUAGAGAUGGCUAGUGUUAGCCAAGAUGGUCUCGAUCUCCUGACCUCGUGAUCUGCCCACCUCAGCCUGCCAAAGUGCUGGGAUUACUGGCGUGAGCCACCGUGCCUGGCCAGCAUCCUCUAAUUAUUAUUCAUAGUUUGUGAAUUUAGGCCUACGUGAAUAAUAAUAUAAUAUUUACUAUGAUGUUACUAUCUACCAACCUUAUUUUUCUUUUCUAUAAAAUAGGAGCCAAAAUAAUAUUUAUGUCAUACCUUAUGAAGUUAAAAUAAAAUAUAACGAAUGAGGGGCUU
rnacentral:lncRNA from 1 species